GGAGAGGUGGCCGAGCGGCUGAAGGCGGCGGAUUGCUAAUCCGUUAUAGGGGUCAUGCCUCUAUCCAGGGUUCGAAUCCCUGCCUCUCCGCCA
rnacentral:tRNA from 1 species